UACGUAGGGUGCAAGCGUUAAUCGGAAUUACUGGGCGUAAAGCGUGCGCAGGCGGUGAUGUAAGACAGAUGUGAAAUCCCCGGGCUCAACCUGGGAACUGCACUUGUGACUGCAUCGCUGGAGUGCGGCAGAGGGGGAUGGAAUUCCGCGUGUAGCAGUGAAAUGCGUAGAUAUGCGGAGGAACACCGAUGGCGAAGGCAAUCCCCUGGGCCUGCACUGACGCUCAUGCACGAAAGCGUGGGGAGCAAACAGG
rnacentral:rRNA from 1 species